AGGUGAUAAACUUCUUUCAAAAUAUCUUCACGUCUGGCACUUAGUGGCGUAUACUUAACAUAUUUGUCAAGCGGUCAUCGGGAUGGUCUCAUCAUGGUACGAUCUUUAGGUCUAGGCUUAAGGUACUCCCUCUUAUGCCAACUCCUUAUUCUUUAGAUUGCAUUUUUUCCUUGGCGUCCCAAGACCUCUUUUCCAUGUUUAUUUCCUCCCUUUUGAUAUAACAUUUUUCUAUAGUAAUAACCUCAUCCAUGCUGGAUGCCGACUUUUGUG
rnacentral:lncRNA from 1 species